UUUUGCAAGGUUCGGGCAGUAUUAUUCUGAUUAAUAAUUAUCAGAAAGAGUUAUCUCUGAAAUAAAUUUCAGUGAGUUUUCAUGCGAGUGACGUGAUGUUAUUUUUGUAACUUUCUUAUUAACAAUGUGAAUUGCUGAUAUUGCAUAUAGUAUCAAUUGAUUUUUUUAAUGUAUUAUUUUAAUGUGAGGACACAGUUCUGAAGAGCAGGAGGAAAAGAGUCAGAAUCAUAUUUAUACAUUUAUGUAAGGUAAGUAUGUAUCAGUUAUUCAGUAGUAUAACUAGUGGAUGUAGUUUCGAUAAAGUAUGUUGUUCUUGCUUGUACAAUGCUGUUAUUAUAAACAGUAUAGUGAGAUAGAUAGGUAUUGUAUCUAUUUUGUAUAGAAAGGUUAUUUGUUGACGGACGAUUCUGUUUUUACUGUGACAUGACAAUUUUGUUUUCUUCUUGGUUUGUUAUGAUGAGGACAUCAUUUUUCGGGCCAGGGAAGUCUGUAACAGGGUUGAAAUAUUCAUUUCAAGGAUUCUGUUCAUGUGUUCUGUUUUAAAUGUUAUUAUUUCCAUAUAACGCAUUGUGUUUACCUGGGUUACUUAUUAAGCUGUGCUCCUGUGGCCAGUCUUAGAGUUAAAGUCAGUCAAGCAUGUGAGUUACACAUGUCCAGUUUAUAUAAUUGUUCAGUCAGGCUUGACCAGUUAUUUUCCCGCCCUUUCCUUUGUCUUCUGGUCACUUCUAACUUGAACACAGAGCUGUACACAUCUACUUUUAAGAUGUACAUUUAUAGUACAGAGUUGCCAUUACUUCAAUAUAAGGUUAGUUCUAUUUCUACCUGUUUGCAUUUACUCUUUCUUGUAUUUGCAUUGAGUUGUAUUUAUGUUGUGAGUUGAUAUAACUCAUAUUUGAUAAGUAAUUAGGUUAAAUUCAGAAAAGCAGCAUUGCCAUCCUAAACGUGCUAACGAUUCCUAUAAUUCACAGUUUCCCAUACUCUUCACAUGUAUAAUCUUAUUUGCAGCAGUAGCACAGCACCCGCAGAGAAUUGUAUAAGAUUGAGAGAGAGUUCCGUACACAUUCCACAAAUGUGACAUGGAAUUCGUAUAAUAAUAAAGACGAAUACAACAUA